rnacentral:rRNA from 1 species
AGAGUUUGAUCAUGGCUCAGAGCGAACGCUGGCGGCAGGCCUAACACAUGCAAGUCGAGCGCCCCGCAAGGGGAGCGGCAGACGGGAGAGUAACACGUGGGAACGUGCCCUUCAGUUCGGAACAACCCAGGGAAACUUGGGCUAAUACCGGAUACGUCCGUAAGGAGAAAGAUUUAUCGCUGAAGGAUCGGCCCGCGUCUGAUUAGCUAGUUGGUGGGGUAAUGGCCCACCAAGGCUACGAUCAGUAGCUGGUCUGAGAGGAUGAUCAGCCUCACUGGGACUGAGACACGGCCCAGACUCCUACGGGAGGCAGCAGUGGGGAAUAUUGGACAAUGGGCGCAAGCCUGAUCCAGCCAUGCCGCGUGGGUGAUGAAGGCCCUAGGGUUGUAAAGCCCUUUCGGCGGGGAAGAUAAUGACGGUACCCGCAGAAGAAGCCCCGGCUAACUUCGUGCCAGCAGCCGCGGUAAUACGAAGGGGGCUAGCGUUGCUCGGAAUCACUGGGCGUAAAGCGCACGUAGGCGGGUUGCUAAGUCGGGGGUGAAAUCCUGGAGCUCAACUCCAGAACUGCCUUCGAUACUGGCGACCUUGAGUCCGGGAGAGGUGAGUGGAACUGCGAGUGUAGAGGUGAAAUUCGUAGAUAUUCGCAAGAACACCAGUGGCGAAGGCGGCUCACUGGCCCGGUACUGACGCUGAUGUGCGAAAGCGUGGGGAGCAAACAGGAUUAGAUACCCCCGUAGUCC